rnacentral:rRNA from 1 species
UACAGAGGUGGCAAGCGUUGUUCGGAAUUACUGGGCGUAAAGGGCGCGUAGGCGGCCUUCUAAGUCAGACGUGAAAUCCCCCGGCUUAACCUGGGAACUGCGUCUGAUACUGGGAGGCUUGAGUAUGGGAGAGGGAUGUAGAAUUCCAGGUGUAGCGGUGAAAUGCGUAGAUAUCUGGAGGAAUACCAGUGGCGAAGGCGGCAUCCUGGACCAUUACUGACGCUGAGGCGCGAAAGCUAGGGGAGCAAACGGG